CCUACGGGUGGCUGCAGUGGGGAAUAUUGGACAAUGGGGGGAACCCUGAUCCAGCCAUGCCGCGUGUGUGAAGAAGGCCCUCGGGUUGUAAAGCACUUUCAGUGAGGAAGAACGCCUGGUGGUUAAUACCCAUCAGGAAAGACAUCACUCACAGAAGAAGCACCGGCUAACUCCGUGCCAGCAGCCGCGGUAAUACGGAGGGUGCGAGCGUUAAUCGGAAUUACUGGGCGUAAAGCGCGCGUAGGUGGCUUGAUAAGCCGGUUGUGAAAGCCCCGGGCUCAACCUGGGAACGGCAUCCGGAACUGUCAAGCUAGAGUGCAGGAGAGGAAGGUAGAAUUCCCGGUGUAGCGGUGAAAUGCGUAGAGAUCGGGAGGAAUACCAGUGACGAAGGCGGCCUUCUGGACUGACACUGACACUGAGGUGCGAAAGCGUGGGUAGCAAACAGGAUUAGAUACCCCAGUAGUC
rnacentral:rRNA from 1 species